rfam:Gossypium arboreum cultivar AKA8401 contig_152_1, whole genome shotgun sequence.
ACCCUAUGAUUAGGAUACUUAUGAAGUAACUCCUUGAUUCGCUCCUAAGUCUCAUACAAAGAUUCGUCAUCCAAUUGUUAGAAAGUUGUGAUCUCGUUCCUCAACUU